AUUGAACGCUGGCGGCAGGCCUAACACAUGCAAGUCGAACGGUAACAGGAAGAAGCUUGCUUCUUUGCUGACGAGUGGCGGACGGGUGAGUAAUGUCUGGGAAACUGCCUGAUGGAGGGGGAUAACUACUGGAAACGGUAGCUAAUACCGCAUAACGUCGCAAGACCAAAAAGGGGGACCUUCGGGCCUCUUGCCAUCGGAUGUGCCCAGAUGGGAUUAGCUAGUAGGUGGGGUAACGGCUCACCUAGGCGACGAUCCCUAGCUGGUCUGAGAGGAUGACCAGCCACACUGGAACUGAGACACGGUCCAGACUCCUACGGGAGGCAGCAGUGGGGAAUAUUGCACAAUGGGCGCAAGCCUGAUGCAGUCAUGCCGCGUGUAUGAAGAAGGCCUUCGGGUUGUAAAGUACUUUCAGCGGGGAGGAAGGGAGUAAAGUUAAUACCUUUGCUCAUUGACGUUACCCGCAGAAGAAGCACCGGCUAACUCCGUG
rnacentral:rRNA from 1 species